rnacentral:rRNA from 1 species
UGGUCAAGUUAUUAAGGGUGCAGGGCGGAUGCCUUGGCACUAGGAGCCGAUGAAGGACGUGAUAAGCUGCGAUAAGCUUCGGGGAGUUGCACGUAAACUUUGAUCCGAAGAUUUCCGAAUGAGGAAACUCACUUAGAGUAAUGUCUAAGUAUCAUUAAGUGAAUACAUAGCUUAAUGAGGGGAACUCAGGGAACUGAAACAUCUAAGUACCUGAAGGAAGAGAAAGAAAUUCGAU